UAUCUCUGUAGAGUCUGCAUAUCAAUAAGCGGAGGAAAAGAAACUAACUAGGAUUCCCUCAGUAACGGCGAGUGGAAGCGGGAAGAGCUCAAAUUUGAAAUCUUCAAGGUUCUACCUUGACGAAUUGUAGUUUAAAGAAGUGUUUUCUGUUGGAGUUUUGGUAAAAGUUCUUUGGAAUAGGACAUCAUAGAGGGUGAGAAUCCCGUAUUUGACCAUUAUUUCCAGCUUUGUGAUACACUUUCAAAGAGUCGGAUUGUUUGGGAAUGCAGUCCAAAAUGGGUGGUAAAUUUCAUCUAAAGCUAAAUACUGGCGAGAGACCGAUAGCGAACAAGUACCGUGAGGGAAAGAUGAAAAGAACUUUGAAAAGAGAGUUAAACAGUACGUGAAAUUGUCAAAAGGGAAGCGUUUGACACCAGUGUUGUUUUCUCGAAAAUCAAUUAAAAAAUGGCGGGAUUUUGUGUUGUAUUGACUUUAUCAGCUUUCUGCACUCUUUUCCUGUCUUUUUUAAUGCACUUUUCGUUUAACAAGUCAACAUCAAUUUCUUUUGUUGUAAAAGGGUCAUUGGAAGGUGGCUUUCUUUUCGGAGAAAGUGUUUAUAGCCUUUGGCCUCUGCAAUCGGAGAGAUUGAGGUCUGCAGCGUAGAUCCUUCGGGGUUAGAUACAUUUGUGCUAAGUUAUAGCCUUUCAUAGACAACUUGUUGACUAUGAUCAGUCAUGUAGCUUACUCGCUUAUGCUAUUUUACCUACGCUUAGGAUGUUGACGAUCAGCUGAGCGCG
rnacentral:rRNA from 1 species